UCUACCGUUAUUUCAGGUAGGGACGUGGAAGCUCGGAAAGACUCAUCAAUUUAAUCAGAUUUCUAUCAAUAUAUCUGUGAGUGGAAAAAUAUAAAUAUUUUAAAGUAUUUAUAAAUUAAGAAUAUUACCAAAGUAUGUGCAAUUAUAUGAAUUAAUUGCUCCAUUAUGUGAUUACGAUGAAAGUUUCUAUUAUUAGGAUCCAUGCGGAAUUUCAAGGAUUAUUUGUGAUAUUGAGAAUUGUUUGGUAUGUAAGAUAUUUGAUAUUGAGGUCGACAAGAAAAGUACUCAUGAUUAUAUAUUUCUUCUAGUUCACUGAGAAGCUUUGGGCAUGUUCUAUAUUACAGUGAGGGGUCUUGGACCGGGUUGAAGGGGUCUUGAUCGUGUACAUAUAGUAAACUGAGUGGCCUUGAUCGUGUUCUAGAAUUGAUUAUCCUCUUGAGACCGACUUUCAUUCACGGAGAGGGCCAAAGGCGCGUGACGAAAGUUCUUAGCCCAAGGAGUGGAUUAAAAAUUUUAGGCAGGUGGUACAUUUUUUGUGAAUUUUUCAAUACAUUUAAUGUGAUGAGAAUAUAACAUGAUUACUAGCUUAUGUUUAUUUCAUGACUUGAGAUGAUAUUUCACCACGUUGUGUGAAUGUUUUACGUUUUGGUUAUAGUUAUAUGAUGUUAUCUUGUGAACUAUUCAAUGAUAUGAACUCAAUUUUCAAUAAAAAUGUAAAAUUGAAAAAUUAUAAUUAUUUUCGAACUUCUCCACUCACUAAACUAUCAACUCA
rnacentral:lncRNA from 1 species